rnacentral:rRNA from 1 species
AGGUGGUGGUGGAAUAAGAGCUGGGCAAGACCGGUGCCAGCCGCCGCGGUAAUACCGGCAGCUCGAGUGAUGGCCGAUCUUAUUGGGCCUAAAGCGUCCGUAGCCGGCCACGCAAGUCCAUCGGGAAAUCCGCCAGCCUAACUGGCGGGCGUCCGGUGGAAACUGUGUGGCUUGGGACCGGAAGACCCAACAGGUACGUCUUGGGUAGGAGUGAAAUCCCGUAAUCCUGGACGGACCACCGAUAGCGAAAGCAUGUUGGGAAGACGGAUCCGACGGUGAGGGACGAAAGCCAGGGUCUCGAACCGGAUUAGAUACCCGGGUAGUCCUGGCCGUAAACGACGUCUGCUAGGUGUGGCUCCCACUACGAGUGGGUGCUGUGCCGUAGGGGAGCCGCUAAGCAGACCGCCUGGGAAGUACGUCCGCAAGGAUGAAACUUAAAGGAAUUGGCGGGGGAGCACUACAACCGGAGGAGCCUGCGGUUUAAUUGGACUCAACGCCGGACAUCUCACCAGCACCGACAACAGCAAUGACGACCAGGUUGAUGACCUUGUCAGAGCUGUUGAGAGGAGGUGCAUGGCCGCCGUCAGCUCGUACCGUGAGGCGUCCUGUUAAGUCAGGCAACGAGCGAGACCCGCACUCCUAAUUGCCAGCACCGGCUUCGGCCGGGUGGGUACAUUAGGAGGACUGCCGUGGCUAACACGGAGGAAGGAACGGGCAACGGUAGGUCAGUAUGCCCCGAAUGUGCUGGGCUGCACGCGGGCUACAAUGGCCAAGACGAUGGGUUCCCACCUCGAGAGAGGGCGGUAAUCUCCUAAACUUGGUCGUAGUUCGGAUUGAGGGCUGAAACCCGCCCUCAUGAAGCUGGAUUCGGUAGUAAUCGCGUGUCAGCAGCGCGCGGUGAAUACGUCCCUGCUCCUUGCACACACCGCCCGUCAAAGCACCCGAGUGGGGUCCGGAUGAGGCCCAGUCCUGGGUCGAAUC